GAUGAACGCUGGCGGCGUGCCUAAUACAUGCAAGUCGAGCGAACGGACGAGAAGCUUGCUUCUCUGAUGUUAGCGGCGGACGGGUGAGUAACACGUGGAUAACCUACCUAUAAGACUGGGAUAACUUCGGGAAACCGGAGCUAAUACCGGAUAAUAUUUUGAACCGCAUGGUUCAAAAGUGAAAGACGGUCUUGCUGUCACUUAUAGAUGGAUCCGCGCUGCAUUAGCUAGUUGGUAAGGUAACGGCUUACCAAGGCAACGAUGCAUAGCCGACCUGAGAGGGUGAUCGGCCACACUGGAACUGAGACACGGUCCAGACUCCUACGGGAGGCAGCAGUAGGGAAUCUUCCGCAAUGGGCGAAAGCCUGACAGAGCAACGCCGCGUGAGUGAUGAAGGUCUUCAGAUCGUAAAACUCUGUUAUUAGGGAAGAACAUAUGUGUAAGUAACUGUGCACAUCUUGACGGUACCUAAUCAGAAAGCCACGGCUAACUACGUG
rnacentral:rRNA from 1 species